rnacentral:rRNA from 1 species
GUGACUGCGUACCUUUUGUAUAAUGGGUCAGCGACUUAUAUUCUGUAGCAAGGUUAACCGAAUAGGGGAGCCGGAGGGAAACCGAGUCUUAAUUGGGCGUUAAGUUGCAGGGUAUAGACCCGAAACCCGGUGAUCUAGCCAUGGGCAGGUUGAAGGUUGGGUAACACUAACUGGAGGACCGAACCGACUAAUGUUGAAAAAUUAGCGGAUGACCUGUGGCUGGGGGUGAAAGGCCAAUCAAACCGGGAGAUAGCUGGUUCUCCCCGAAAGCUAUUUAGGUAGCGCCUCGUGAAUUCAUCUCCGGGGGUAGAGCACUGUUUCGGCUAGGGGGCCAUCCCGGCUUACCAACCCGAUGCAAACUGCGAAUACCGGAGAAUGUUAUCACGGGAGACACACGGCGGGUGCUAACGUCCGUCGUGAAGAGGGAAACAACCCAGACCGCCAGCUAAGGUCCCAAAGUCAUGGUUAAGUGGGAAACGAUGUGGGAAGGCCCAGACAGCCAGGAUGUUGGCUUAGAAGCAGCCAUCAUUUAAAGAAAGCGUAAUAGCUCACUGGUCGAGUCGGCCUGCGCGGAAGAUGUAACGGGGCUAAACCAUGCACCGAAGCUGCGGCAGCGACGCUGAUGCGUUGUUGGGUAGGGGAGCGUUCUGUAAGCCUGCGA